CUAGUGGAGUAGGAUUGUGCCCAGAGUCAUCCGUGGACAUUCAUGUGAGGGGUCUGCUUUCCAAGUGGGGAUGAACUGUGACCCACUAGCUUUCUGCAUCUGCCACUAUGCCUUCCCUGUUACCAUGGGAACACCCUGCCAGUUACCAUGUCUUCACCACCAUGAUGGACUUCCUUCCUCUGGAACCAUGACCGAAAUAAACUCUUUGUCUCUUUA